rnacentral:rRNA from 1 species
UACGUAGGGUGCAAGCGUUAAUCGGAAUUACUGGGCGUAAAGCGUGCGCAGGCGGUGAUGUAAGACAGAUGUGAAAUCCCCGGGCUCAACCUGGGAACUGCAUUUGUGACUGCAUCGCUGGAGUACGGCAGAGGGGGAUGGAAUUCCGCGUGUAGCAGUGAAAUGCGUAGAUAUGCGGAGGAACACCGAUGGCGAAGGCAAUCCCCUGGGCCUGUACUGACGCUCAUGCACGAAGGCCAGGGGAGCGAACGGG